CAUCUAUUUCUAUUUCCAUUCCUGUAUGUACUCAUGCAUAUAAGUACAUAUGGAUUUUUACAUCCACAUAUGUAUGUGUGCAAAUCAUGGGCAAGAUCAGUGAAUCCAGGGGGGUUGGAUGCCAUUACCAAGAAAGCUUGGAGAGGGGAAGGCUCAGACUAUGCCUUGGGGAUCGUUCACACUCAGUGGUCAGUGACUCAUAUGGACCCAGAAGAGGAGCCUGGGAAGGAGCAGUCAGACAUGGAGGAGGAGGAGCCUGCUUACAGAAUUGAGACUAUCCAGAAGGAGGCAGGGCUUGUGAGUGGGUGGACAAGGUUGAGAAAAAGCGAUCAGGGUAGCCACAGUUAGAGAUCACUGAAACCUUUGCUGCUAUUUCAGUCAAGUAUUGUAGGGUCAGAAGCCAGAUCAUAAGGGAUUGAGAAGUGAGGGGAAGGUGAUGUACUGGAGGCAAUGGAUGUAGACUGAAUCUGACUGCAGGAAUAUGACUACAAAAGCAAAGAGAAAUCUAGAAUAAUACCUUGAGAGCAUCUCAGGCCAACAGAAUGGUUUGUGUUUGUUUUCUUUUAUUUUAUCUUAAGGGAUCAUUGGGAAAGGUUUUAUGGUCCAAAAUGAUGUAGAAAGAGAUAGCAACAGGGGUAUAAGGAGAGAGAAUGUCCUUGACAAGGAAGGACAAGGAAAUUAUGACUAGUGAUGAUACAAGGGAUAAAGGGUUUGAGAGGAGAAAGGUGGAUGUAGAUGCACUGACCAAGGAUAAGGCUAAGAUUGUGGAAGGGGCACAAAGGACAUUAAGUUAAAGGUGACUGACCUUGUAGAACAGGGAAGGGAAGGGUGCAAUGUCUGGAGAUGCCAUAAAUGUUUGGGGAAACUGAAGUAGAAGAUAAGACCCAUUACAUUGCUGAAGUUAUCCAAAAAAAGGGCAAAUGUUGGAAGACAUGUCAUUGGUGGAGCUGUGAAUUGCUCUAGGCAUUCUGGGAAAUAACUGGGAAGGCCAUCAAUCACUCAACAAGCAUCAACUGAGCACCCCCUCUGGACCAAGGAUUGUUCUAAGGGUUGAAAUCACACAGACCAAUACAACAUGAUCCCUGCCCUGAUGAAGCUUACGUUCUAGCUCUUCCAGGCAGAGAUCCUGGCCCUGUUUGGACAUCUGAGGGUCAGGACCUGGGCCACCUCUGGGCCAUGACGAGUCGCUUGAGGACCGCCACUCUCCUGGGUAGCUGGAGCUGUUUCCAGUCCGUCCCGCUUCUUGCCUGGGCCUAGCUCCCAGAUGGACCUUCCUGCUGAGUCACACUGCCUGUAGCUGGGGCUGCACAGACAGCCUUCUGUUCCGUGUAUUUUAAUUGCUCUUCCUUCAGAAUGUGCCCGAGGGCCAGUCCUACAUGACUGUUCCCAAGGAGAGGCGCCCAAGGCUCCCUGAGCGGUGACGGGAUCUGGCGAUUAGAUCCUGGGGCUUCCAGUUUGCUCUCCACCCCUUUGGACCCUGAUCCCCAAGGAGACCCUGAGUCCCCUGGGGCCCCGAUCCUUGGAGGACCUAGAGAGGAGGUACCCAGGAGUUCCGAGAGGUUUCCCAUGAUCCCAUUGCAGAGCCAGCUGGAGCAAGGGGAGCCGGCAAACCCAGAGCCUCAGUUCCCGGCACACAUCCUGGCACACAGGGCUCACUUACUCAAUGCUUGCUAAACCGACUUGGAAUGGAGUGAAUCCUGCACCAACACUUGGGCCAUCCCAGCAAUACGAUCCUCAUGAGGUAAGAAAGAAAGCGGGAGCAUUUCUCUAAAAUGUGUCUAUGAAAUGGGACAUUUUUCCUAAGAAUUUUUUUCCACUCUGGGGAUUCAAUGAGACAGGCCAGUGGGGCAAGGCAGACCUGUUAUAGACAUAUCGUGAAGCAUCAUAAGGGGA